GUAGAGAGCCAAGCAUUCCAGUAUCCAUGUGUGUGGCAUUGUGUCAUAGGCUUUCUUGUAGUCAAUCCGGGCCGUACACAGCUUGGUCUGUCUGGUCUUAGAAUCCCUUGUGACUGCUUGGUGUACCAGUAGUUGGUGUUUUGAUCCUCUGGUGUUGUUUCCAAUCCCCUUCUGAGUAUUGCUCAAAUAUUGACUCAUAUGCCCUUGGAUCUUGGAGGCUAUGAUGCCUGACAGGAGUUUCCAUGUUGUGGGGAGGCAGGUUAUUGGUCGGUAGUUGAAUGGUGCUGUUCCCUUGUUAGGGUCCUUCAUGACCAGUAUUGUUCUGCCUUAUGUUAGCCAGUCAGG